rnacentral:rRNA from 1 species
UUCCAGCUCCAAUAGCGUAUAUUAAAGUUGUUGCGGUUAAAAAGCUCGUAGUUGAAUUUGUGUUCCACACUGUCGGUUCACCGCCCGCGGUGCUAACUGGCAUGUUUGUGGAACGUCCUGCCGGUGGAUGUACAAUAUUUGAUUUCGGUCAUUUAUUACACAUCCGACUUUAUAAUCCUGUCGCGGUGCUCUUAAUUGAGUGUCGAGGCGGGCCGGCACGUUUACUUUGAACAAAUUAAAGUGCUCAAAGCAGGCUAAUAUAUGCCUGAAUAAUUAGUGCAUGGAAUAAUGGAACAGGACCUUGGUUCUAUUUUGUUGGUUUUCGGAACCCCAAGGUAAUGAUUAAUAGGGACAGGUGG